CUCAGUAGUCAUACGCUCGUCUCAAAGAUUAAGCCAUGCAUGUGUAAGUGUAAAUGUACUAGUUUGGAACUGCGAAUGGCUCAUUAUAUCAGUUAUAGUUUAUUUGGUGAAGUGUACUACUUGGAUAACCGUAGUAAUUCUAGGGCUAAUACAUGAGAAAGUCCUCUGGUGAGGUGUGUUUAUUAGAAUGAAAACCAUAUGCUUCGGCAUGAUAGUGAGUAAUAGUAACCUAUCGUAUCGCAUGCUUAAUGUAGCGAUGAGUCUUUCAAGUUUCUGCCCUAUCAGCUUUCGAUGGUAGUAUAUGGGCCUACCAUGGCAGUAACGGGUAACGAAGAAUUUGGGUUCGAUUUCGGAGAGGGAGCCUGAGAGAUGGCUACCACAUCCAAGGAAGGCAGCAGGCGCGUAAAUUACCCAAUCCUGACACAGGGAGGUAGUGGCAAUAAAUCACAAUGCGGGACUAUCAGUCUUGCAAUUGGAUUGAGAACAAUGUACAACUCUUAUCGAUAAGCCAUUGGAGGGCAAGUCUGGUGCCAGCAGCCCG
rnacentral:rRNA from 1 species